UACGUAGGGGGCUAGCGUUGUCCGGAAUCAUUGGGCGUAAAGCGUGCGCAGGCGGUUUUGUAAGCCGGAUGUGAAAUCCCCGGGCUUAACCUGGGAAUGGCAUUUGGGACUGCAAGGCUUGAGUUUGGCAGAGGAGACUGGAAUUCCUGGUGUAGCAGUGAAAUGCGCAGAUAUCGGGAGGAACACCUAUGGCGAAGGCAGCUCGCUGGGACGUUACUGACGCUGAGACGCGAAAGCGUGGGGAGCAAACAGG
rnacentral:rRNA from 1 species